rnacentral:sRNA from 1 species
UAGGAAGAAGUGAAUAGAAGAAAAGAGGGUGUUGCAAAUCAAAAGCACAUAGGGAUAUCAUCUUACACCAGUCAGAAUGGCUAUUCUUAAAAUGUCAAACAACAGAUAUUGGAUUGCCACAUCAUCAGGACCACACCUUCAUCAGGAAUGAAUAUUCCUACUACAAUUAAAGAAGAAACAAAAUUAAUUUGCUGGUGAAAAACGUAAAAAGAGAAAUUUUCUUUGGUUUUGUUUAAUUUCUUUAUUGAGGGUCACCACUAAAAAAAAUGCUCACUGGUCAUUCUUUUGAAUACUGUCUGAGAGAAAGAUGUAAGAUGGUUGAUUAUUUCAAAUGACAGAAGAUAAAGAUGGGAUAUCAUCAUGGCAUGAACAAAAACAAGAUUUGUAGCUGGAGGUAUUUUAUAGUCUAACAUGAUCACCAAUCAUUCUAUAAACCUGUUGGAUGAGUUUAUUAGACAGAGAGAGAGAUUGAUUGAUUCUGAAUAGAAAAUUUCACUUUAGAAAAAAAUAUUUUGACUAUAUAAUAAUGUAUGUAAAAAUUCUCUUUGAUAAGAAACGAGUGAACUGGAUUCAAUUUUCCUCACAGCCUGUGUAAUACACCAUCACUUGCUUCCUCCUACAUGCCAUUGAUUAGCCCCAGGGAGCAGUGCAGCAUUGCCUGCCCAUUUUUUACAUAACCCCUGAAUAUAAAUGCCAGAUGUUGCUGAAGGAAACAGGAUCUGCUUUGUGAAAGAAGUGGCAAGCAAUGGAUCCCAAAUAUCAGCGUGUGGAGCUAAAUGAUGGUCACUUCAUGCCCGUAU